rnacentral:rRNA from 1 species
UACGUAGGGGUCGAGCGUUGUCCGGAGUUACUGGGCGUAAAGCGUGUGCAGGCGGCUCAUUGCGCCCGGCGUGAAAGCCCCCGGCUCAACCGGGGAGAGUCGUCGGGGACGGGUGAGCUUGAGGGUAUCAGGGGCUGGUGGAAUUCCCGGUGUAGUGGUGAAAUGCGUAGAUAUCGGGAGGAACACCGGUGGCGAAGGCGGGUCUCUGGGCCGUAACUGACGCUGAGACACGAAAGCGUGGGGAGCAAACAGG